AGGAAAAAAAAUUGCCAUUGCCACUGUAGUCCAGCUCCAGUCCAGCUUUUCACACAUUUACAGUUCAGUUUGGUUCCAGAACAGGGUACUUGUCUUUCUCUCCUCCUCUCUCUCUUUCCUUCUCUUCCUCUGCAACCAACCAUGAGGAUCACCUUUGUGACAAUGGCCACGGCGAUGGUGUGUUUGAUGGGUGUCCAUGGAGACGUGCAGCCUCAGAGAGACUUUGACCUGCAGAGGUUUGCAGGGAAGUGGUACCGUGUGGGCUUGGCGUAUGACUCCCCAGGGUUUACUGCCCUAUACAGAGACAAGCUGAGAGUGUCCAUGGGCAUCCUGAAUCCACAGACCAACGGCAACGUCAACCUCACCAUGUGGACCCAGAGAUCAUCAGGUUGCCGCAGUAAGCUUUACACGUAUGAGAAGACAGCGAUACCUGGCGCCUUCACCUAUUUCAGCACCCGCCAUAACAAAGUAAAGGACAUCACAGUAGUGGAGACCAACUAUAAUGAGUAUGCACUGGUCCUGAAGCACAAGAAGAUGGACAGAGAGUACACACAGGUGGCCCUCUAUGGUCGUUCUCAGAAGGUAAAGCCCGAAGUGAUUCAGAAAUUUAGAGACUUUGCCACAUCUCAUGGAUUUCCCAAGGAUGCCAUUCUGACCCCACCACCUGCAGGUAGUAGCCUAAGUAUGGACACACACACAGACACACACAGUCCCUACAUUUCUCGUCUCUAAGCUGUACGACUGAAAGCAGACAGUGUGUAACACAACAUUGUCGUGCUCUUCGUUGUUUGCAGAGAACUGCCCUCCCUCUGGACGCUAGAUCAGAGCAACAUCAUGAUUACUCAUUGAUUUGCUUCGCCGCACCAGUUUCCCAGCACUUAUUAGACAUUUGUCUCUCCAUUGGAGCACAGCAUCAGGAUUGGUUUCACCUUUACACCACACGUUUCACUGGGCAACAACAGAACCUCAACACGCUUUACCUCACAAGGGUGAAAUAGUAUAACUGCUAAUGACAGAUGCACUUUUAGACAGCCCGUCUUGUUUUAUUACCAACAUCCUCUCUGAUGUCUGUCUGUCUCUUGUCCCCUCAGUACAACGGACUGUUGAAUUCUUUUUUUCCUUUCUGAAUCCGAUAAAACAAGGGACGUCAUUGUCUUGUAUAACACUGCUAUGGCUGAAUAAAUGCUAGUGUUCCUCUGGUGCUA